UUAAUUUCUUGAUAAAAAUCGAAUCCACGCUACAAUAAGCAACAUCCAUAAUGCAUGGGUUCUGAACAAGUAAUGCCUCAAGGACCACCAUGACACUUCAGAUGAGAUGAGAUGAAUUCACAUACAAAAUUGUAUCUCACAUACUUGAACAGAUAGAGUUAGUACAUCAUUUUCUUUUCCAACCUUCAAAANACUAAACUUUUUAUGCCUUGACUACAAUUCAAUACUUUCUCUAAACAAAUCAAGCAUUCUGUACUAAAACUAAAACCUACAGAGACAAUGAUGGAAAGAAGUAAUCUGCCAUCAAACUGCAAUUACCAAUCAUUCAUCAUCAGAACUAUCGUAUGCCAGGCCCAGUAAUCCCCCACCAGAGUUUUCAAUCCUAGGCUUAGCUUCGGUUUCCUGUGACCCCAAAGGAGCAUGCUCCUCAGAUUUCUCUGAUGCAGAUAAAGAUUGUUCCUCCACUUUCUUUGGUCCUGACAAAGAUUGCUUCUCUUUUUGAAGGAUCAUAAUCAGGCUUACAUGUUGUGACAGGGGCAUUUUGAGAAGCUGGGGUUGACUGGUUGCCAUCAGAUCUUGGCCUCUUAGGUUUAAUCUCAACAACUUUUUUCAGCAAAUCUUGCUGCCUAUAUCACAAAAACUCAUACUUUGAGAAUCACUGAAGCUAGGAAAAGACAAGGAAAUGCAUGCAGGGACAUACUAAAUACCUGAUUCUUCACUCAAGAAUAAAUCAGUCGAUACAUAACACCAAGUUUCAUGCAGUGUUGCUAUGUUCAGUACAAUAAAUGAAGCAAACAGCUACUUCAUUCAAAACUUUUUCUCAGUUUAAUUUUUCAAAAAAAUUUUGCCCGAACAUUAUGAAAAUUGCAUUUACAUAAUCAUUUUAAUACGUUUGUCUUAUACUUUCAUGUUUCUCUAAAUAAAUGAUAUACCAUCUCAUCAUAUAUCCGUACCAAUGUUGUAGAAUUUUUUUCAACUACUCGUACUGAUACCAUACCAAUGCUAAUAACACCAUAUAGGAUUGUGAACUGCUAAAGGUUUAUGUCUUGACCAAUCUUGAAACAGCACUAAUUGACAUUUUCAAUUAAAGAUAAAAAGUAAAUAGCACACUCAAUUAUACAGAAUAUGAAUAUUGGUAAAAAUUAUGGCGGUCAGUUUUUGGCAAACUGAUUAUCGAUAGAGAACCGCCAUUAUGAAUGGAGCCUGAGAACAAAAACAAAUUAGGAUAUAGUUCUUUUAUUGAUGGCUUCAGAACCUUACUAGAAAAUCAUUUUCACUAGAUGAGGCAAACUACUGAAGUUAUUGUUCAUUUAGCACUGUAUCCCAUUUUGGAGCAUUUCUUUCCUCAAAGCUCUUUCUAUUUCUUCAUUCCCUUGUCGAAUGUAUCCAUCAAUAAAAGCACCAUAAACUUCAGAUUUCGGUUGGAAACCUUUUCCUACCAUCUCUGCCUGCAGCUUCAACGCUUCUUCCAUUCUCCCCUCAAAACACAGUCCCUUUAACAACACAACAUAACUCUUUUCCCUUGGAAUUAAAUCAAAUUUACUAACUGCGCGCCUCACAAACUCCAGAGCUUCCUGAACCCUGCCCUUAUCACAAAGCAACCUAAUCAUCAUGUCAAGGGUUGAAGCAUCAGGCCUUAAAUCCCUCCUAGACAUAUCCUCAUAAAAAAGAACAGCUGAAUCAAUGCGAAGGUAAGUGUGUAUGCGUUUGAUCGAUGCGAAGGUAUGAAAUGACAAAGAGAGGUUCUGCGGGGACAAUGUGACUUUUGGUGGAAGAGCUCUCGAGAGAGAGAGGACGUAGAUGAGGACUACGCUGGUGAGGUUCUGCGGGGACGAUGUGGCUCGUGGUGGAAGAGCUCUCUCGUGAGAGUGUGGACGUAGAUGAAGACUACGCGAAAGGAAGAUGUGGCGCUGUGUGUCGAGGGGAACUCGCGAGGGGAUAAGCUCGCGUGGCAGCGAUGGCGUAAGCAAUCCACGCGGCUGAGACAGAGUGGUGAAAAAAUGGUUCCGUGGAGGUGAGAGAGAUAUGAAGCGUAAAUGGGGAUUUUUUUUUUUUUAUGUAACACAGAAUAUUAGCACAUUUACCAAACUAGCACAUUUUUUUAAACCGAAUUUUAACCUAUUAUUUAUUCUUUUAUAAUCAUAACAUAGAAUUUGGUUUUUGAAAAACCGAAUUUAAAUCAUAUACUUUUUUUAUAAUCUUAAGUUUAUCAUUUAUAUUUUAAUAUCGUUUUUAUAAAAACUUUUAUUUUUAAGCAUUUAUAAUUUAAUUUUUUAUAAUAUUAAUUAGAAUUUUAUAUUUUAGUAUUGUUUUUUAUAAAAAACUUUUAUUUUUUAAGCAUUUAUAUUUUAAUUUUAUUUUAUAAUCUUGGAUUAGUAUUAUUUAUUUUAAUAUUUUUUAAUAAAAACUUUUAUUUUUUAAGCAUUUAUCAAAAAAGUAUAUUGAAAUUAGAUUUUCAACAAACCGAAUUUUGACUUAUAUUUUUAAUUCUUUAUUGAGCCUUCAAAAAAGAAACAAUGAUCAUACACAUCAUCUUAAUUGGAGCAAAUCAUCUUAUAAAUGAAUAUUUUUUUUGAAGAAAUCAAUGACCUAGCAUUAUCAUUGGUACAAGUAACACACCCAAUUGCAUUGAGCUCACUCACUCAUAUCAAAAAAUAGAAUAAUUUUACAAAAAUAGAACAAAAAUCAUCUUGGAGAAUGUUAUUGUUCCAGUCGGAAAGUAUACUUGAAGUUUAUGUACAAAUUACUCUUUUUUCUCUGGUAAUUGAUUACAAGACCUCUGUAAUUGAUUAACAGGACAGAAAAUGACCAGCAAUGUUUAUGAAACUCAUCUAACUUACAUGAAAGCACCUAAAUGGCCUUUUUACUCAACAAUUCAAUGACCUAAUGUGUUCAUUGGUGCACUAAACACCACCCAUGACCAUUGAAAUCACUCACCCAUUUAAAAUAAAAAACAUGAAACAAUAAUUUAAAAAUAAACUCAUUUAGAAAACUUAGAAAAACGUUGUUUUUGGAAAAUCAACUACAUCAAGUACAGUGUUAAAAAAUUGAGUUAGUAGUCAUUUAAAAACUUUUUGAGUCUAGAUUCCAACAAAAUAAAAAUCAACUCAUUUGAAAUUCGAUGAAGAAAGUUAAGAACAAAGCAACUAACAAAUAUAAAAAAAACAAAUCUAGUCAAUGUCGUUCAUCCAGCUAUGGAGUAUAAUUGAAAUUUUUGUACAAAUUAUCAUUUUUCCUCUUAUAAUCGAUUACCAGAGAAAAAAGAGUCAUUUGUAAAAAAAAACUUUUGGUCUUGUAUUCGAAUACAAGACCCCUAUAAUCAAUUACACCUAACAUUCACAUGUUUAUAGAAAAGUUUUAAUUUCAAUGGAAGUUGAGAUUAUUCCUCACUAAAUUUGUUUACUUAAUUUCAUGAUAAAAAUCGAAUCCAUGCUACAAUAAGGAACAUCCAUAAUGCAUGGGUUCUGAAAAAGUAAUGCCUCAAGGACCACCAUGACACUUCAGAUGAGACGAGAUGAAUUCACAUGCAAAAUUGUAUCUUACAUACUUGAGCAGAUAGAGUUAGUACAUCAUUUUCUUUUCCAACCUUCAAAAGACUAAACUUUUUAUGCCUUGACUACAAUUCAAUACUUUCUCUAAACAAAUCANNNNNNNNNNNNNNNNNNNNNNNNNNNNNNNNNNNNNNNNNNNNNNNNNNNNNNNNNNNNNNNNNNNNNNNNNNNNNNNNNNNNNNNNNNNNNNNNNNNNNNNNNNNNNNNNNNNNNNNNNNNNNNNNNNNNNNNNNNNNNNNNNNNNNNNNNNNNNNNNNNNNNNNNNNNNNNNNNNNNNNNNNNNNNNNNNNNNNNNNNNNNNNNNNNNNNNNNNNNNNNNNNNNNNNNNNNNNNNNNNNNNNNNNNNNNNNNNNNNNNNNNNNNNNNNNNNNUUUUGAGAAGCUGGGGUUGACUGGUUGCCAUCAGAUCUUGGCCUCUUAGGUUUAAUCUCAACAACUUUUUUCAGCAAAUCUUGCUGCCUAUAUCAGAAAAACUCAAAUACUUUGAGAAUCACUGAGGCUAGGAAAAGACAAGGAAAUGCAUGGAGGGACGAGAAAGAUUGGGAAGAUCUACCUAAUACCACUCUUUGGCUUUGGCUCGACGCGAAAUGCCAAUGGUACAGAUGCAGGUGUUGAAUCUGCUAAACUUGCAGCUCUGUAUUUGUUGGUGAAGGGAAAACAAGGUAAUACAUACAACUUAACAAGCAGCUUUAUCAGAAACAAUUUACCAGUAUGAUAAAUAUAGGUUUCACAAACAGUGAAAGAGGACAAAUGAAUAUGUAAGUAGAGCCUAGGUUGGAUUUUGUAUAUAUCAAUUCAGCAGAAGUUAUUAGGAUCAGACAACUAUAUUAAAAAAUGUAAUACCUGUUUAAAUUCAUUGAAAAAAAAUUCUAGACUAAAAACUGUAUUACAAUCAUAAAGCUUGAAAUACGUAUUUUUGUCAUGCUUAAGGAAUAACCCUACUCCAACAAAUCUUCUUCAUUAAAGCACUUGCAUAGCAUUCAACAUCUUAAAUGUAUGACGUAAGAUUCAAUGCAUAGUUUCUAAAACUGGACCAGAAUGGCUAGUUUGAUUGAAUUGACCGUGCACUACUAGACAGUCCAAUCAAUGCUACAUAACAUUAAAAGCCAGCCUUGAACAUGCUAAACUCCAAGUGAACUGAACUAACCGGGGACCCAGUCAGUCAGGGUUUCACCAGCCGAACCAAUGAAAGCUAAGGUGAGCACAGCCAAAAUCAUGCAGAAAGGGAUUCAAACCCUGUGCAAUAAAAUUAAUGCAUCAUUGAAGCACUAAGUCAGGAGUCAACCCUUAAAAGUACUAAGUCAGGGCCCUAUAUAUGUCAGCAUAAACCUACAUACCGAUAAACACCAUGCAUUGUGAGAAUAAUUGUAUUCAUAGAUAUCUGUUUUUUAUAGCACAUAUUUAAAUGUUUAUAUCGAGUAACAGUGAUUUAUUGUAACUUUAUAGUAGUUGAUUUGUUAUAAACUACUUGUACCAUAAUACACACACACACAUUCUUAUAUUUUCACUCAACGCAUAUAUGUUACACCUUAUAUAUAUUAUCAUACUAUGUAGUUUGUUCAAAAUCUUUGUUCAACCCACCUCAAAACCUUGAGCAUCUCCCAUUAUCAGUUCACAGUCAGAUCUAGUUAAGAAUAUAUUGACUCACAGUUUUCAAGUGCAAUUAUGAAAAUAAGAUGAGGUUAUACGCUAAAAUACAUGCAAGAAUAAAGCAAGAAAUCCGUAGUCAUAGGGUACGAAAAACCAAUAUCAAAUCAACUCAAGAUGAAAACGGAAACAUAGAUUGUUACGUAUUGCAAUCGCCACAAAAGGAUAUCUUAAAUGCAGCAAAUGCCCUUUUCUCGGUUCGGCGAAGGAGGCGCUCUGCAUCCUCCUCAGCUUCCAUUUGCUCCUUGAGAUAAAGUAGAUCAUCACUGUCCAAGGCUGCAUACUUAAAAUUUAAAAAACGGGAAGAAAGAAACUAAAAAAGCAGGUGAAGCAGAAGCACAAGCAACAAAUAGACACACAAAAGUAAGAGGAAGUGCACAGUACCGCCUCGACCAUGAAGGUAACCUCCACGCUCCCCAGCAACCUCUUGCAUCUGCUUGAAUCAGCCACCCAAUACAGGAACCCAAGAUCCCUGCCGGGGCAUGUUAUCAGCAAAAUCCCUCAAAUUGCAAAAAAAUAAUGCUUGAAAAUCGAAAAAACAAAAGCAUAGGCAGGCAGCACAUGGCCAAAAGAGAAAACCAACACAGGAAAAUUACAAAAUUCUGAUUAGCUACAUUCCCUGAUCAAGGUCAGUGAAGUUAAAGAAACCACAAACAAAGACAUACUAAAUACCUGAUUCAUCACUCAAGAAUAAAUCAGUCCAUACAUAACACCAAGUUCCAUACAGUGUUGUUGUGUUCAGUACAAUAAAUGAAGCAAACAGCUACUUCAUUCAAAA
rnacentral:lncRNA from 1 species